rnacentral:rRNA from 1 species
UACAGAGGGUGCGAGCGUUAAUCGGAAUUACUGGGCGUAAAGCGCACGUAGUCGGCUUUGCAAUUCGGGUGUGAAAUCCCCGGGCUCAACCUGGGAACUGCAUCCGAGACUGCAUUGCUAGAGUAUGGGAGAGGGAAGCGGAAUUUCUGGUGUAGCAGUGAAAUGCGUAGAUAUCAGAAGGAACAUCAGUGGCGAAGGCGGCUUCCUGGACCAAUACUGACGAUCAGGUGCGAAAGCGUGGGGAGCAAACAGG